GUUCAGAGUCUUAGCUGAACGCGGAGCUGCGGCUGCUGUGAUGUGGAGCGGCUGCCGGCGUCUCGGGGCGCGCCUCGGCUGCCUGCCCGGCGGUCUCCGGGCCCUCUUCCAGACCGGCCACCGGAGCUUGAGCUCCUGCAUCGACCCUUCCGUGGGACUUAAUGAAGAGCAGAAAGAAUUUCAGAAAGUGGCCUUUGACUUUGCUGCCCGAGAGAUGGCUCCAAAUAUGGCAGAGUGGGACCAGAAGGUAGGAGUUUUUCUUGUGCUUAGACGUUCUAACAGAUGUCUCAGGCAGACCUUUAUCUUUUUCUCCUGAUAAUGUAAUUGUUAAAUGUCUUCUCCACUUGCCAACUCUUACGGCAAGUAAGAAUACCGGUAGUGGAUGAUUUUUCCUAGAAGGCAUCCUGAUCAUCUUGUACAUAACUUUUUUUUUUUGUCAGUUGAAUAAAGAUUUGGAUAUAAAACUAAAGCAGUUCUAUAGAUAAUAAAAAGAAACUUUUUAAUGCCA
rnacentral:sRNA from 1 species